GACGAACGCUGGCGGCGUGCCUAAUACAUGCAAGUAGAACGCUGAAGAGAGGAGCUUGCUCUUCUUGGAUGAGUUGCGAACGGGUGAGUAACGCGUAGGUAACCUGCCUUGUAGCGGGGGAUAACUAUUGGAAACGAUGGCUAAUACCGCAUAACAAUGGAUGACACAUGUCAUUUAUUUGAAAGGGGCAAUUGCUCCACUACAAGAUGGACCUGCGUUGUAUUAGCUAGUAGGUGAGGUAAUGGCUCACCUAGGCGACGAUACAUAGCCGACCUGAGAGGGUGAUCGGCCACACUGGGACUGAGACACGGCCCAGACUCCUACGGGAGGCAGCAGUAGGGAAUCUUCGGCAAUGGGGGCAACCCUGACCGAGCAACGCCGCGUGAGUGAAGAAGGUUUUCGGAUCGUAAAGCUCUGUUGUAAGUCAAGAACGGGUGUGAGAGUGGAAAGUUCACACUGUGACGGUAGCUUACCAGAAAGGGACGGCUAACUACGUG
rnacentral:rRNA from 1 species